CUCGUCUGGAAGGUUGGGAUGGUCCAGCUAAUUCAGCAGUCAUUGCUCGCCGCAUUGCAACAUUAGCUCGUGUAUUAGACGACGACCUAUCUACAGAUAGCCAAAUUCCAUCGGUUGAGGAUGCCUGGGCUACAGCUGAAGUUGAAGCUGAUCUUAGAAUAUCAAGAUCAUCUUGAAAGAAGGAAUCUCUUGAACUCUGACUUGGUGGAACUACAGAUCCAGGGCUUGAAGGUGGUGAAUCUAUGAUGCUUGAAUUUGGGCUUGAUGGUGAACUAGCUGAUGCAGCGAUAUGACAGCAGAGGAAGUAUUGACUGUCUAUUAUGGACAAUAUAAAGAAUAUGUGGCUGAAUGCAGCCACGAACUAGAAGAGGAGGAAGAAGAGGAGGAAGAAGAAAUAGAAGAAGAUGAAGGAAUUGAGGCCGAUUUAGAAGAAAAUUGAUGGCUGCCCCUCUCCUCCUCCUCUACUAGCGCUAAGUAUUUAGUUG